rnacentral:rRNA from 1 species
CAAUAGCGUAUACUAAUGUUGUUGCAGUUAAAAAGCUCGUAGUUGAACUUCUGGUAGGAGUGUCCCGGCCUUUUUGUUUUUACAAAUUGUAUGCUGUGUGACAUCUCUGGCCAUCCUUCUUCUUUGUUUAAAGAAGAUCUUUCACUGUAAAUAAAUUAGGGUGUUCAAAGCAAAAGUUUCUUUGGAAUAUAUUAGUAUGGGAUGAUAAGAUAGGCUCUAGAUGCUAUUUUGUUGGUUUGCACAUUUAGAGAAUGAUUAACAGGGACAGUUGGGGGUAUUCGUAUUUACAUGUCAGAGGUGAAAUUCUUGGAUUUUGGAAAGACGAACUACUGCGAAAGCAUUUACCAAGGAUGUUUUCAUUAA